UACGAAGGUCCCGAGCGUUGUUUGGAAUCACUGGGCGUAAAGGGAGCGUAGGCGGCGCGGUAAGUCAGAUGUGAAAUCCCGGGGCUCAACCCCGGAACUGCAUCCGAUACUGCCGUGCUAGAGGAUUGGAGAGGUAGCUGGAAUUCUUGGUGUAGCAGUGAAAUGCGUGGAGAUCAAGAGGAACACUCGUGGCGAAAGCGAGCUACUGGACAAUAUCUGACGCUGAGGCUCGAAGGCCAGGGUAGCGAAAGGG
rnacentral:rRNA from 1 species